GUCCACGCCGUAAACGAUGGAUACUAGCUGUUGGGCGCAAGUUCAGUGGCUAAGCGAAAGUGAUAAGUAUCCCACCUGGGGAGUACGUUCGCAAGAAUGAAACUCAAAGGAAUUGACGGGGGCCCGCACAAGCGGUGGAGCAUGUGGUUUAAUUCGAUGAUACGCGAGGAACCUUACCAAGGCUUAAAUGUAGAUUGACCGGACUGGAAACAGUUUUUCGCAAGACAAUUUACAAGGUGCUGCAUGGUUGUCGU
rnacentral:rRNA from 1 species